rnacentral:lncRNA from 1 species
GCUUUCAUCAUGAUGGUAGCCUCAUCAUUGUCAAAUUUUGGAGACACCAUAUAUCUUCCCUCAAAAGGAGACACCAUCGGUCUUCCCUCAAAAGGAGAUGCCAUACGUCUUCCCUCAAAAGGAGAUGCCAUACGUCUUCCCUCAAAAGCAGAGGCAACCUGUCUUCCCUCAAAAGGAUACAUCGAGGUAUUUCUUCUUUUUUCAGAUAACGCUGGGGUAGGUGCAAUCCUGUAUCU